CACAUGCAAGUCGAACGGUAGCAGCAGAGCUUGCUCUGGCUGACGAGUGGCGGACGGGUGCGUAACGCGUGGGAAUUUACCUUGUAGUGGGGGAUAGCCCGGAGAAAUCCGGAUUAAUACCGCAUAAUCUCUACGGAGCAAAGUGGGGGAUCUUCGGACCUCACGCUAUUAGAUGAGCCCGCGUUAGAUUAGCUUGUUGGUGAGGUAAUGGCUCACCAAGGCAACGAUCUAUAGCUGGUUUGAGAGGAUGAUCAGCCACACUGGGACUGAGACACGAACCAGACUCCUACGGGAGGCAGCAGUGGGGAAUAUUGGACAAUGGGCGCAAGCCUGAUCCAGCAAUACCGCGUGUGUGAAGAAGGCCUGAGGGUUGUAAAGCACUUUCAAUAGAGACGAAAAGCUUAGGGUUAAUAACCCUGAGUCUUGACUUAACCUAUAGAAGAAGCACCGGCUAACUCCGUGCCAGCAGCCGCGGUAAUACGGAGGGUGCAAGCGUUAAUCGGAAUUACUGGGCGUAAAGCGCUCGUAGGCGGUUUGUUAAGUCGGAUGUGAAAGCCCCGGGCUCAACCUGGGAACUGCAUUCGAUACUGACAGACUAGAGUAUAGUAGAGGCAAGUGGAAUUCCGGGUGUAGCGGUGAAAUGCGUAGAUAUCCGGAGGAACAUCAGUGGCGAAGGCGACUUGCUGGACUAAUACUGACGCUGAGGAGCGAAAGCGUGGGGGAGCAAACGGGAUUAGAUA
rnacentral:rRNA from 1 species